rnacentral:pre_miRNA from 1 species
AAAUGGAGGUUGAAAUUUGUAGAGAGAUAACGCUCCAAGCAGGAUCCACUGUCAGCAAGAGUACUAAAAGCACGUCCAACUGGAAGAGCAUCCAACUAACAUGGCACCGAAAAUGUUUCGAGUUGAACUUGCUUUCAGUACUCUUGCUGACAGUGCGUCCUACUUGGAAUGUUAUCUCUCUACAAAUUUCAACCUCCCACU